GCUAGCUACAGGCUUAACACAUGCAAGUCGAGGGGAAACGACAUCGAAAGCUUGCUUUUGAUGGGCGUCGACCGGCGCACGGGUGAGUAACGCGUAUCCAACCUGCCCACCACUUGGGGAUAACCUUGCGAAAGUAAGACUAAUACCCAAUGAUAUCUCUAGAAGACAUCUGAAAGAGAUUAAAGAUUUAUCGGUGAUGGAUGGGGAUGCGUCUGAUUAGCUUGUUGGCGGGGUAACGGCCCACCAAGGCGACGAUCAGUAGGGGUUCUGAGAGGAAGGUCCCCCACAUUGGAACUGAGACACGGUCCAAACUCCUACGGGAGGCAGCAGUGAGGAAUAUUGGUCAAUGGGCGAGAGCCUGAACCAGCCAAGUAGCGUGCAGGAUGACGGCCCUAUGGGUUGUAAACUGCUUUUAUAAGGGAAUAAAGUGAGUCUCGUGAGACUUUUUGCAUGUACCUUAUGAAUAAGGACCGGCUAAUUCCGUGCCAGCAGCCGCGGUAAUACGGAAGGUCCGGGCGUUAUCCGGAUUUAUUGGGUUUAAAGGGAGCGUAGGCCGGAGAUUAAGCGUGUUGUGAAAUGUAGACGCUCAACGUCUGCACUGCAGCGCGAAUUGGUUUCCUUGAGUACGCACAAAGUGGGCGGAAUUCGUGGUGUAGCGGUGAAAUGCUUAGAUAUCACGAAGAACUCCGAUUGCGAAGGCAGCUCACUGGAGCGCAACUGACGCUGAAGCUCGAAAGUGCGGGUAUCGAACAGGAUUAGAUACCCUGGUAGUCCGCACGGUAAACGAUGGAUGCCCGCUGUUGGUCUGAAUAGGUCAGCGGC
rnacentral:rRNA from 1 species